GACGAACGCUGGCGGCGUGCUUAACACAUGCAAGUCGAGCGGAGCGGCGAACGGGCGAGUAAGGCGUGAGCAACUGCCCCCCUCUCUGGGAUAACAGGUCGAAACGGCUGCUAAUACCGGAAAGUGGGGGAUGACUCGCGUCCUAUCUGCUGGUUGGGGGGGUAGUGGCCUACCAAGGCGACGGCGGGUCGGCGGCCUGAGGGGGCGACCGGCCACAAUGGGCUGAGGUACGGCGCAGACGCCAACGGGAGACAGCGGUGGGAAAUAUUGCGCAACGGGGGAAACCCUGAUGCAGCAACGCCGCGUUCGUAAUGACGGCCUUCGGGGUGUGAACCGCUUCCGGCCAUGACGCGGUAGUGGCAGAAGAAGCACCGGCUAACUACGUGCCAGCAGCCGCGGUAAUAC
rnacentral:rRNA from 1 species